rnacentral:rRNA from 1 species
AGCGUAGGCGGUGUGGCAAGUCUGAUGUGAAAGGCAUGGGCUCAACCUGUGGACUGCAUUGGAAACUGUCAUACUUGAGUGCCGGAGGGGUAAGCGGAAUUCCUAGUGUAGCGGUGAAAUGCGUAGAUAUUAGGAGGAACACCAGUGGCGAAGGCGGCUUACUGGACGGUAACUGACGUUGAGGCUCGAAAGCGUGGGAGCAAACA